GGGAUCGUAUUUCAACGGAUAGAAUGGUGGCCUCCGAAGCCGCAGAUGUGGGUUCGAUUCCCGCCGAUCCCGCCA
rnacentral:tRNA from 1 species